rnacentral:rRNA from 1 species
UACAGAGGUCCCAAGCGUUGUUCGGAUUCACUGGGCGUAAAGGGUGCGUAGGCGGCCGUGCAAGUCUGGCGUGAAAGCCCCGGGCUCAGCCCGGGAAGUGCGCUCGAAACUGCGCGGCUCGAGUGUCGGAGGGGAGAGUGGAAUUCCUGGUGUAGCGGUGAAAUGCGUAGAGAUCAGGAGGAAUACCGGUGGCGAAAGCGACUCUCUGGACGGCAACUGACGCUGAGGCACGAAAGCGUGGGGAGCAAACAGG